rnacentral:rRNA from 1 species
GACGAACGCUGGCGGCGUGCUUAACACAUGCAAGUCGAACGGAAAGGCCCUGCUUUUGUGGGGUGCUCGAGUGGCGAACGGGUGAGUAACACGUGAGUAACCUGCCCUUGACUUUGGGAUAACUUCAGGAAACUGGGGCUAAUACCGGAUAGGAGCUCCUGCUGCAUGGUGGGGGUUGGAAAGUUUCGGCGGUUGGGGAUGGACUCGCGGCUUAUCAGCUUGUUGGUGGGGUAGUGGCUUACCAAGGCUUUGACGGGUAGCCGGCCUGAGAGGGUGGCCGGCCACAUUGGGACUGAGAUACGGCCCAGACUCCUACGGGGGGCAGCAGUGGGGAAUAUUGCACAAUGGGCGGAAGCCUGAUGCAGCAACGCCGCGUGCGUGAUGACGGCCUUCGGGUUGUAAACCGCUUUCGCCUGUGACGAAGCGUGAGUGACGGUAAUGGGUAAAGAAGCACCGGCUAACUACGUG